GAACUCGGAAGCACCACACCUGCAGACCCUAAUGAAAGCCCAUACCCCAGGCCCUGUCUCCAUCUGCACUCUGCUUUGACCUCCUUGUGUGGCCUCUGGAGGCAUUCCCUGUACUUCCUCCAGGUCUUAGGAAAGGCCAUGUAAGGACACAGGGAGAAGUUGCCAAUCUACAGGCCAAGAAGAGAGGUCUACCAGAAUUCAGUUCUGAUGGCACCUUGAUCUUCAUCUACUAACCUCCAGAAUGGUGAGAAAAUAAAGGCCACCCAAGAGAGACACAGCGAGACAGGGAACACAAGCAGGGG